rnacentral:ribozyme from 14 species
GAGGCACUUUGCAAAAAAGAAAAAAAAUAGAUAGUUAGCGUAUUCCUAAGCCAUUUUCGUUAUUCUAAUGAACUACAAUUGAUGAUAAAAAAAA